CAUUCACAUUCAAAGUUAUCAUUACUUGUGUAUUUCUCUCCAUCCUGUUUUUCCUCACUAUCAUUCUUGCCCCGUUUACCCUCUCCUCACUCAGCUAAUUUACUUAUCUCUCCUUAAUCUCUCCUCACCCAGUUUUAUUUUUUUAGAAUUACCCCAUUGUACAUUAGCUCAGCCCAAGCUUUUCUUUUAAACUAACCAAAUAAUAAUGAAUAAUAAGAGUACUUAAUACUCACAUAUAAGAAGUAAAGUUUCACCUUAUUGAGUCUCCCCUAUAAUUGGUCUUUAAUGUUUACCUUAUGUUUCUUCUGUUUCUUAUUAGUCAAAUUUUCCAUUAAGUUCUGCUCUUUUUGUUACAAGUCUUUCUAUUCAUUAAGCAUCCUUUUUUUUUUUCCAUUCAGGAUUAUAUUUACCUUUUCUGGGUAGGUUAAAGCAACCCCAGCUCUUUUGCUCUAUGAUAGUGUUCUAACCCUUUUUCACCGGCAGUUAGUGCUGUGAGUGUGGAGUUUAUGCUCCGGGCCCAGAACACAUUUAUUAUUUUAAAAAUACCAAAAAAUCUUUUAAAAAGUCAACCAAAAAACCAUAAAAAAAUCUGUGUCUCCUCCACCGGAGACUUUUAUUAUUUUUCCUCUUUUAUAAAAUAACCUGUUGAAACAUCUGAGACUGACCUACCACUCAUAGCCCUGCAGCAAUUCCGAGAAGGAUCAAAGAGACAGGCCUUCCCCACCGCCAGAACCAUAGCCACCUCACGAGCCAUUCCCUGAGCAACCAGUACUGGUAGCUGGCGGUGGCUCGUACUCAUUCCGUGGCCAUCAACUCUAGUUGGCUUUUGUCCCUUUACCCUUGCCCUCUCUCCCUUCCCCCCCUGCUCCCUGGCUCCAGACUCCGGCUCCCUAUAUUCUCUUACCUCUUCCCACGGAAAGUGCGCAGCUAGUGGCCCUUUGGGAGGCAGUGCCAAGAUGAAACUGAGUGUUCCCUAUGGCUUCGCUCUACAUGAGGGAUCUGCACCCCGAUGUGACCAAGGCGAUGCUCUAUGAGAAGUUCACCCUGGCCGGGCCCAUCCUCUUCAUCCAGGUCUGUAGGGACAUGAUUACCUGCUUUCCCUGGGCUAUGCCUAUGUCAACUUCCAGCAGCUGGCGAACACUGAAUGGACAUUGGAUACAAUGAAUUUUGAUGUCAUUAAGGGCAAACCAGUGCGUAUCCUGUGGUCUCAAUGUAACCUAUCACUAUUCUAAAAGUGUUGUGGGCAAUAUAUUCAUCAAAAAUUUGGAUAAAUCCAUUGAUAAUAAACCAUUGUAUGAUACAUUUUCUGCUUUUGGAAACAUCCUUUCUUGUAAGGUAGUAUAUGAUGAAAAUGUGUUAGAGGGCUAUGGAUUUGUACACUUUGAGUCACAGGAAGCUGCUGAAAGAGCUAUUGAAAAAAUGAAUGGAAUGCUUCUUAAAGAUUGAAAAGUCUUUGUUAAUCAAUUUAAGUCCCAUAAAGAAAGAAAAGAAGAACUUGGAGCUGGAGCAAAACAGUUCACCAAUGUUUACAUCAAAAAUUUGGUGAGGACAUGAAUAAUAAAAGACUUAAGGGGCUCUUUGGCAAGUUUGGACCUGCUUUAAAUGUAAAAGUAAUGACUGAUGAAAGUGGAAAAUAUAAAGGUUUUGGUUUUGUGAGCUUUGAAAGACAUGAAAAUGCACAAAAAGCUGUAGAUGAGAUGAAUGGAAAAUAAAUUUAUUUUGGCCAAGCUCAGAAAAAAGUGGAAAAAGAUAUAACUCAUGUGCAAAUUUGAACAAAUGAAGCAGGAUAGGAUCAUCAGAUACCAGGAUGUUAACCUAUAUGUGAAAAGUGUUGAUGAUGGUAUUAUUGAUGAGCGUCUGAGAAAAGAAUUCUCACCAUUUGGUACAAUCACUAGUGCAAAGGAGGUGAUGAAUAGUGGCCACAUUUGGGCUUGUAUUGUUCUCUUUGCUGGAGGAAGCCACCAAAGUGGUCACAGAAAUGAAUGGCAGAAUUGUUGCCACUAAACCAUUGUAUGUAGCUUUAGCCCAGUGCAAAGAAGAGCAGCAGAUUCACCUCACAAACCAGUGUAUGAAGAGAAUGGUGAAUGUCAGAGCUGUACCCAACCCUGUAACUCAACUAUCAGUCUCCUUCAGGUUACUUCAUGGCAACUAUUCCUCAGACUCAGAAUCGUGCUACAUGCUAUCCUGCUAGCCAAGUUGUUCAACUCAGACCAAGUCCUUGCUGGACUGCUCAGGGUGCCAGACCUCAUCCAUUCCAGAAUAUGCCCAGUGCUAUCCACCCAGCAGCUCCUAAGUCACCAUUUAGUACAAUGAGACCAACUUCUUCACAGGUUUCAUGUGUAAUGUUAACACAGCGUGUUGCAAACACAUCAACUCAGACAAUGGGUCCAAGUCCUACAGCUGCAGGUGUUCGCAACACUCAACAGCAUCUUAAUGCACAACCACAGGUUACCAUGCAGCAGUCUGCUGAUCAUGUGCAGGGUCAGGACUCUUUAACUGCUUCUAUGUUUGCCCCUCCUCAAAAGCAAAAGCAGAUGUUGGGUGAAUGGCUGUUUUCACUCAUUAUUCAGGCCCUGGCAUGUUGCUAGAAAUUGACAACUCUGAGCCGAGUGUCUCUGCUCUUAAGGUUGAUGAAGCCAUACUGCAAGUUCUCCAAGCUAAAGAAGUUGCCCAGAAAGCAGUUAACAGUGCCGCUGUAUUCCAACCGUUUAAAAGAAAAGGUCAGGGACCACAAAAUGGAACCUCUUCUGCUUCACUGAAGAAAAAUAUCUAAACAUUGAAAAACUUAAAUAUUGUGAAAAAACAUUGCAAAA